GUCUGAUUUUCUUCAAGAAGAUUGACUCCAGAGUUGAUGAAGGUCAGAUGAACAUGAAGAGCAGCCAGAAACUCCUGAACACUCAGAUGGACGAAGCAGAACACCUUGUCCUGGUACAGCCCUCUCUCCUCUCUAAAGAUCUGUGUGAACACUCCUGAGUACACUGAGGCUGCUC